UGUGCGUUGACAUUUCCCAGUGGGCACCGGGCCAAAAAUAGACGUCUUUUAAACGUUCAAAAGACGUCCAAAACGUUCAAAAAACGUUCAAAAAAAUGUAGAUAUAUUGUGAACUAGUUGUCAACAAGACAAUAAACACCUCGAGAACAUUAAUUUAUUGUUACUACUUAUUUGACAAAUUUUUGUGAAUUUUGUUAUCGCUUUUCCUGUCGUUGUGUUCCAUAUGCUAACAGCCCCAAACUUUUUUCUUUAGAAAUUUUUAAAAUCUUGCAUUUACCACAAAAAACCACGAACCUUGCAAGACUUAAAAACUUUGAAGAAGAAGUUGCCAAUUUGGAGUUAGAUAAUAAUGAUGCUCCCGUUGAAAUAGAUACACCCGUUGAAUGAUGGUUCCACGUUUAACCGAUGCAUGCGUUGAAUACUUCAAUGAGAACUUUCUCAAUAUCUUUAAUACAUUAAAAGUUUUAAA